UACAGAGGUCCCAAGCGUUGUUCGGAUUCACUGGGCGUAAAGGGGUGCGUAGGCGGUCGGGUAAGUCUGAUGUGAAAUCUCACAGCUUAACUGUGAAACUGCAUUGGAUACUAUCCGGCUUGAGGAAUGGAGGGGGAGACUGGAAUACUUGGUGUAGCAGUGAAAAUGCGUAGAUAUCAAGUGGAACACCAGUGGCGAAAGGCGAGUCUCUGGACAUUUUCCUGACGCUGAGGCACGAAAAGCCAGGGGGAGCAAAACGGG
rnacentral:rRNA from 1 species